AAUUUGAUGCCAGGAUAUGAAGUUGC
rnacentral:piRNA from 1 species